GAUGAACGCUGGCGGCGUGCCUAAUACAUGCAAGUCGAGCGAACAGACGAGGAGCUUGCUCCUCUGACGUUAGCGGCGGACGGGUGAGUAACCCGUGGAUAACCUACCUAUAAGACUGGGAUAACUUCGGGAAACCGGAGCCAAUACCGGAUAAUAUAUUGAACCGCAUGGUUCAAUAGUGAAAGACGGUUUUGCUGGCACUUAUAGAUGGAUCCGCGCCGCAUUAGCUAGUUGGUAAGGUAACGGCUUACCAAGGCGACGAUGCGUAGCCGACCUGAGAGGGUGAUCAGCCACACUGGAACUGAGACACGGUCCAGACUCCUACGGGAGGCAGCAGUAGGGAAUCUUCCGCAAUGGGCGAAAGCCUGACGCAGCAACGCCGCGUGAGUGAUGAAGGUCUUCGGAUCGUAAAACUCUUUUAUUAGGGAAGAACAAAUGUGUAAGUAACUAUGCACGUCUUGACGGUACCUAAUCAGAAAGCAACGGCUAACUACGUG
rnacentral:rRNA from 1 species